UACGGAGGGGACUAGCGUUGUUCGGAAUUACUGGGCGUAAAGCGCACGUAGGCGGAUUUGUAAGUCAGGGGUGAAAUCCCGGGGCUCAACCUCGGAACUGCCUUUGAUACUGCAAAUCUCGAGUCCGGAAGAGGUGAGUGGAAUUCCGUAGUGUAGAGGUGAAAUUCGUAGAUAUUAGGAAGAACACCAGUGGCGAAGGCGGCUCACUGGUCCGGUACUGACGCUGAGGUGCGAAAGCGUGGGGAGCAAACAGGG
rnacentral:rRNA from 1 species